rnacentral:rRNA from 2 species
AGGGGAGUGAAAAAGAACCUGAAACCGUGUACGUACAAGCAGUGGGAGCCCCACCACUAAGCCAGUGGUGAACUCCACAUACGCAUCCUUUGCUGAGGAUACGGUUAACGGAGCGAAAGCGACGUUCAACCUCAAAAGAAGCAGAGGGGGCUUAGUGGUGGGGUGACUGCGUACCUUUUGUAUAAUGGGUCAGCGACUUAUAUUCUGUAGCAAGGUUAACCGAAUAGGGGAGCCGGAGGGAAACCGAGUCUUAACCGGGCGUUAAGUUGCAGGGUAUAGACCCGAAACCCGGUGAUCUAGCCAUGGGCAGGUUGAAGGUUGGGUAACACUAACUGGAGGACCGAACCGACUAAUGUUGAAAAAUUAGCGGAUGACCUGUGGCUGGGGGUGAAAGGCCAAUCAAACCGGGAGAUAGCUGGUUCUCCCCGAAAGCUAUUUAGGUAGCGCCUCGUGAAUUCAUCUCCGGGGGUAGAGCACUGUUUCGGCUAGGGGGUCAUCCCGACUUACCAACCCGAUGCAAACUGCGAAUACCGGAGAAUGUUAUCACGGGAGACACACGGCGGGUGCUAACGUCCGUCGUGAAGAGGGAAACAACCCAGACCGCCAGCUAAGGUCCCAAAGUCAUGGUUAAGUGGGAAACGAUGUGGGAAGGCCCAGACAGCCAGGAUGUUGGCUUAGAAGCAGCCAUCAUUUAAAGAAAGCGUAAUAGCUCACUGGUCGAGUCGGCCUGCGCGGAAGAUGUAACGGGGCUAAACCAUGCACCGAAGCUGCGGCAGCGACACUAUGUGUUGUUGGGUAGGGGAGCGUUCUGUAAGCCUGCGAAGGUGUCUCGUGAGGGAUGCUGGAGGUAUCAGAAGUGCGAAUGCUGACAUAAGUAACGAUAAUGCGGGUGAAAAACCCGCACGCCGGAAGACCAAGGGUUCCUGUCCAACGUUAAUCGGGGCAGGGUGAGUCGACCCCUAAGGCGAGGCCGAAAGGCGUAGUCGAUGGGAAACAGGUUAAUAUUCCUGUACUUGGUGUUACUGCGAAGGGGGGACGGAGAAGGCUAUGUUGGCCGGGCGACGGUUGUCCCGGUUUAAGCGUGUAGGUGUGUGUUCCAGGUAAAUCCGGUUCACUUUAACACUGAGGCGUGAUGACGAGGCACUACGGUGCUGAAGCAACAAAUGCCCUGCUUCCAGGAAAAGCCUCUAAGCAUCAGGUAACAUCAAAUCGUACCCCAAACCGACACAGGUGGUCAGGUAGAGAAUACCAAGGCGCUUGAGAGAACUCGGGUGAAGGAACUAGGCAAAAUGGUGCCGUAACUUCGGGAGAAGGCACGCUGAUAUGUAGGUGAAGUGGUUUACCCAUGGAGCUGAAAUCAGUCGAAGAUACCAGCUGGCUGCAACUGUUUAUUAAAAACACAGCACUGUGCAAACACGAAAGUGGACGUAUACGGUGUGACGCCUGCCCGGUGCCGGAAGGUUAAUUGAUGGGGUUAUCCGUAAGGAGAAGCUCUUGAUCGAAGCCCCGGUAAACGGCGGCCGUAACUAUAACGGUCCUAAGGUAGCGAAAUUCCUUGUCGGGUAAGUUCCGACCUGCACGAAUGGCGUAAUGAUGGCCAGGCUGUCUCCACCCGAGACUCAGUGAAAUUGAACUCGCUGUGAAGAUGCAGUGUACCCGCGGCAAGACGGAAAGACCCCGUGAACCUUUACUAUAGCUUGACACUGAACACUGGUCCUUGAUGUGCAGGAUAGGUGGGAGGCUUUGAAGCGCGGACGCCAGUUCGUGUGGAGCCAUCCUUGAAAUACCACCCUUUAAUGGCUGGUGUUCUAACGUAGACCCGUGAUCCGGGUUGCGGACAGUGUCUGGUGGGUAGUUUGACUGGGGCGGUCUCCUCCUAAAGAGUAACGGAGGAGCACGAAGGUUAGCUAAUCCUGGUCGGACAUCAGGAGGUUAGUGCAAAGGCAUAAGCUAGCUUGACUGCGAGCGUGACGGCGCGAGCAGGUGCGAAAGCAGGUC